rnacentral:rRNA from 1 species
ACGGGUGAGUAACACGUGGGAACGUACCCUUCGGUUCGGAAUAACACAGAGAAAUUUGUGCUAAUACCGGAUACGUCCGAGAGGAGAAAGAUUUAUCGCCGAAGGAUCGGCCCGCGUCUGAUUAGCUAGUUGGUGAGGUAACGGCUCACCAAGGCGACGAUCAGUAGCUGGUCUGAGAGGAUGAUCAGCCACACUGGGACUGAGACACGGCCCAGACUCCUACGGGAGGCAGCAGUGGGGAAUAUUGGACAAUGGGCGCAAGCCUGAUCCAGCCAUGCCGCGUGAGUGAUGAAGGCCCUAGGGUUGUAAAGCUCUUUUACCUGGGAAGAUAAUGACUGUACCAGGAGAAUAAGCCCCGGCUAACUUCGUGCCAGCAGCCGCGGUAAUACGAAGGGGGCUAGCGUUGUUCGGAAUCACUGGGCGUAAAGCGCACGUAGGCGGAUUUUUAAGUCAGGGGUGAAAUCCCGGGGCUCAACCUCGGAACUGCCUUUGAUACUGGAGAUCUUGAGUCCGGGAGAGGUGAGUGGAACUGCGAGUGUAGAGGUGAAAUUCGUAGA